GCUAAGGCCGUGGCAGCAGCGGCGGUAAUACGGUGGAUCCGAGCGUUAUGCGGAUUUAUUGGGUUUAAAGGGGGCGUAGGCGGGCGUGUAAGUCAGGGGUGAAAUACGGCAGCUCAACUGGCGCAGUGCCUUUGAUACUGCAGGGCUUGAAUACACUUGAAGUAGGCGGAAUGUGACAAGUAGCGGUGAAAUGCAUAGAUAUGUCACAGAACACCGAUUGCGAAGGCAGCUUACUAAAGUGUGAUUGACGCUGAGGCACGAAAGCGUGGGGAUCAAACAGGAUUAGAUACCCGGGUAGUC
rnacentral:rRNA from 1 species